GACGAACGCUGGCGGCGUGCUUAACACAUGCAAGUCGAACGGAAAGGCCCUGCUUUUGUGGGGUGCCCGAGUGGCGAACGGGUGAGUAACACGUGAGUAACCUGCCCUUGACUUUGGGAUAACUUCAGGAAACUGGGGCUAAUACCGGAUAGGAGCUCCUGCUGCAUGGUGGGGGUUGGAAAGUUUCGGCGGUUGGGGAUGGACUCGCGGCUUAUCAGCUUGUUGGUGGGGGAGUGGCUUACCAAGGCUUUGACGGGUAGCCGGCCUGAGAGGGUGACCGGCCACAUUGGGACUGAGAUGCGGCCCAGGCUCCUACGGAAGGCAGCAGUGGGGAAUAUUGCACAAUGGGCGGAAGCCUGAUGCAGCAACGCCGCGUGCUGGAUGACGGCCUUCGGGUUGUAAACCGCUUUCGCCUGUGACGAAGCGUGAGUGGCGGUAAUGGGUAAAGAAGCACCGGCUAACUACGUG
rnacentral:rRNA from 1 species